CCUACGGGGGGCUGCAGUGGGGAAUAUUGGACAAUGGGGGGAACCCUGAUGCAGCCAUGCCGCGUGUGUGAAGAAGGCCCUCGGGUUGUAAAGCACUUUCAGCGAGGAAGAACGCGUGAUGGUUAAUACCCAUCGGGAAUGACAUCACCCACAGAAGAAGCACCGGCUAACUCCGUGCCAGCAGCCGCGGUAAUACGGAGGGUGCGAGCGUUAAUCGGAAUUACUGGGCGUAAAGCGCGCGCAGGUGGCUUGAUAAGCCGGUUGUGAAAGCCCCGGGCUCAACCUGGGAACGGCAUCCGGAACUGGCAGGCUUGAGUGCCGGAGAGGAGGGUAGAAUUCCCGGUGUAGCGGUGAAAUGCGUAGAGAUCUGGAGGAAUACCAGUGGCGAAGGCGGCCCUCUGGACUGACACUGACGCUGAGGUGCGAAAGCGUGGGGAGCAAACAGGAUUAGAUACCCCAGUAGUC
rnacentral:rRNA from 1 species